GGGGUUGUGGCUCAGUGGUAGAGCGUUUGCCUAGCAUGCAUGAGGCACUGGGUUUGAUCCUCAGCACCACA
rnacentral:tRNA from 1 species